GACGUAGGGCGCGAGCGUUGUCCGGAUUUAUUGGGCGUAAAGAGCUCGUAGGCGGCUUGUUGCGUCGUCCGUGAAAACUUGUGGCUUAACCACAGGCUGGCGGUCGAUACGGGCAGGCUGGAGUUCGGUAGGGGAGUCUGGAAUUCCUGGUGUAGCGGUGAAAUGCGCAGAUAUCAGGAGGAACACCGGUGGCGAAGGCGGGACUAUGGGCCGAUACUGACGCUGAGGAGCGAAAGCGUGGGGAGCGAACAGG
rnacentral:rRNA from 1 species